rnacentral:misc_RNA from 1 species
AAGGAGUCUAACAUCUACGCGAGUGUUCGGGUGUCAAACCCGUGCGCGAAGUGAAAGCGAACGGAGGUGGGAACACUCACGGGUGAACCAUCGACCGAUCCUGAAGUCUUCGGAUGGAUUUGAGUAAGAGAGUAGCUGUUGGGACACGAGAGAUGGUGAACUGUGCCUGAAUAGGGCGAAGCCAGAGGAAACUCUGGUGGAGGUUCGUAGCGGUUCUGACGUGCAAAUCGAUCGUCGAAUUUGGGUAUAGGGGCGAAAUACUCAUCGAACCAUCUGGUAGCUGGUUCCUGC